GGCUCGGUAGCGCAUGGUGCGCCGCUGCAUAUAAUGAGCUUUGGAUACAGAUGUUCCUGCAGAGCCCGCCUGUUCGACUCAGGUCUGAGCCA